CUCUCGAAGGGGAAACUUGGUGGCCAGUCUUUUGCCACGUCGAACCUCCAGCCGGUCCACCUUGCUCAUACCCGGAGCGCUUCUUCUUCUUCUUUUUUUUAUUUAUUUUUAAUUUUUGGCUCUAGGAAGUAGAAUAUGAACAGCACCAACCAGGUUUUGCCUCCUCAGCGGCGUUGAAUGAAAGAACGAGGAGAUUCUGAGGGAAGAAGGCAAACAUCGGCCAAGAAGAAGAAGAAGAAGAAGAAACAUCACUCGAGAAGUCGCAGCUCGCUCCAUCUUCAGCCUGGUCAGCACUUUUUAGUAGUUCUAGUCAGACUGUGAGAGCGGGAGGACCCGAGAGCUUGGCGCUGGAUCCGCAGUGAGUAAACCUGUGUGAAAACCUGGGUGAGCUUAAACCCUCUCCUCAGCAUCACUUCAGCCGCCCAGCCCGCCUGCCCAGUGUUCAGACUACCUGUUCAGGAAGUAGUGGUUGUACAGUAGUCUGCACAUUGGUUAGGCUGGCCGGGGAAGCACGGGACAAAGCGUCCAAAAGGAACGACGAGAAAAAGAAAAAAAAAAAUGGGAAUCCAGAAGGCCCGAGCACAUCUGUGGGAACACGAAGCAGCACCACCCCUCGUCCAUCUGGCCCAGCCUGGGCACGAGCCUAAAUAAAGCACCCAAAGGCUCCACCACAGAGGCCUAGCCCUCGCCCAGCGUGGAUUUAUGGGUGACAGACGUCCUAAAAAUGUAGCCAUCAGGUUUAUUUUGCUGUAAAAGUGUUCUGUGCUGCCAUCAAACCACGAGUUAAAUGUGAUGAAAUGUAGUGUGGAAAUAGUUUGAAAUAAAGAUGCUUGGAUUCUGA